rnacentral:rRNA from 1 species
CCUACGGGCGGCUGCAGUGGGGAAUAUUGCACAAUGGGCGCAAGCCUGAUGCAGCCAUGCCGCGUGUGUGAAGAAGGCCUUCGGGUUGUAAAGCACUUUCAGCGGGGAGGAAGGCGGUGAGGUUAAUAACCUCAUCGAUUGACGUUACCCGCAGAAGAAGCACCGGCUAACUCCGUGCCAGCAGCCGCGGUAAUACGGAGGGUGUAAGCGUUAAUCGGAAUUACUGGGCGUAAAGCGCACGCAGGCGGUCUGUCAAGUCGGAUGUGAAAUCCCCGGGCUCAACCUGGGAACUGCAUUCGAAACUGGCAGGCUAGAGUCGUGUAGAGGGGGGUAGAAUUCCAGGUGUAGCGGUGAAAUGCGUAGAGAUCUGGAGGAAUACCGGUGGCGAAGGCGGCCCCCUGGACAAAGACUGACGCUCAGGUGCGAAAGCGUGGGGAGCAAACAGGAUUAGAUACCCUAGUAGUC